CAAGACUGCAGCUGUUUCAUUGCCAGCUGUAAGGAUGAAGCAGCUUCAUAGCCGGACAUCAGACGCCUUCCAAGUUCCCCUUUUCAGCAACAGAGGCAUAGGAUGCCAUUCUACCUGUGCUGCAUUGUGUGGCUGACCACUCCUAGGAUCUCAGCAGAAUCAUUACACAGUUUCAGAAGCCACAAUUGCCUGGCAUGCUGUCUGGUCAUGAUGCGUGGCUACAAUGAAGUCCUGCUGACCCCAAGCAUGGCGUGAAAUGAAGAAAUGGCACUCCACAUCCAUAGAGAGCUUGAUUUCCCCUGUUUCAUGCUUACUUGUUGGCAUAGCCAGUCUGUUAGCUUAAUUUUUGGUUCUUCCCUAUUGAAUGCUCAAGAAAGGCACCAAAACUGUCAUUCAUUGAAAAAAAAGUUGUUUGCAGACACUGCCAUGCACAAAGCCCUUGACCUCAUUGAAUGUUUUUAAAAGAAAAUGCAGCUUCUGUGUGCAGCAAUAGGCUGAACAAGACGAGGGCAAACAGGAAGGUUGCGACAUUAGUGUUCAAGAGUUGGCCAACAAAGAAGGUCACAAGCUGAAGCCAACAUCUUUACAAGGGAACAAAUGGAUUUAGCCUGAGCCAUUCCCUGUUCGACCAGCCAAGUCUCCUUGUCGAAACAUGUGCUCUAGCCUGAGGCGUACAUAUCCCGUUCUACCACUCUCGAUCAACGAUACACCAAUACAAUUAGCAACUCGUGGCAAGGUCGUAAAUUCACGUUUGAAGGGAAUGUAGUGUGCACCCUGCAAGGUAGCAUGAAUAGUAUGGUAUUUACUUGAAUGAAAUGCAGAUUUGCUUGCCAGUUACUUUAUCCCCAUGCUAUAAUUGGAAAGCAUGGUUCCUAAGAGAGAAUAAUGAUUUGAAGUUCACGCAGUUUUGCUCCUUUAUGUAAGUUCACACUGUUACGGUUGCUACACUACCAGUCCUGUCUGCAACUGCAUAGUAGUGUUCCGAGUACGCAGCCCAAUUCAAUAGAAAAGGUAGGCUUUUUCCUCAGAAAAUGUGCUGCUGCCUCACAGCUUGAUGCAGACAAGUAUUUUAUAUCUGGAUGGUGACUGCAAUAGGAUGUGCUUCUUAAAUAAGAGCGAUAUGCUGUUUCAAGUGCAAUUAAAUGCAAUUUCAAAUGACCUCAGCUUGGGGGAUCACACGAUGGGAGGCCAAUGUGAGAAGGAGGAUUUGAUAUUGUUACGUUCGAUAUGUUACAUUACAUACUGUGACAAUAUCUUAGAACAAGGCACUUGAACAUGAGAAAGCACGACUUAUUUCAUCUAAAGUUGCUACUGUUGGAUAUGAUCAGGGAAGGUACUUAUUCGUGACUCCAUUUGCAACAUGUUACAAUGCUGGCUUAAUAUUUUGCACUGGGUAGAUGAAAAAACCACUGCUUGCACAAUAUUCAACUAAACAAGGUAGCCAUGCUAAAGUGUCCAUGCAGAACACAACUCAUGCACUAUUAGAAAAUAAAUACGCAGGGUGAUCGUUUCUAAGUUUUAUGGAAUUUUUAAAAAUUGCCUGUGGCAGACAGCAUAAUUCUUGUCCUUGAGCUGGACUAUUUGAAGAGGCGGAUUACUAGCACAAGAAAUCGAAACACAUGUUCAAUUAGUUAACGAAAAUUUCAGUAAUUAACUUCUUAACUGAUUAGUUUAUAACGCAUAUUGCAAUUAACAAAUGGUAGCCAGAGAGCUUGCAAGACGUAUCUACUUGAAAUGGAUUUCCAGGAUGACACCAGUUUCGAGAUAUUAUUUCCAAAGUGUGGGACGAAAUACAUGAAUGUUCUAGUUACUUUUGUGCUUCAAUGGAGAAGAUAGCAUUUUGUUAAAAAUGUAAGUUAAUCAACAGUGCAUUUUUAGGGCAAGUUUGAUGGCAUAUAUCUCCAAACUGGUGUCAUUAUGGAAAUUCAUUCCAAGUGGAUAUGCCUUGCAAACUCACCGGCUACAAUUCGUAAAUUGCAAUAUCGGCCGUAAAGUAUUUAAUUCAAAAGAUAAUUAGUGGAUUUUUGUUAAUUAGCUGAAUAUGUGCUACGAUUUGUCGUGAAAGUAAUGUCCGCAUCUCUGACAAAUACAGCUAAGGACUAGAAUUAUGAUAUCUGCAACAGGUUAUUUUUAAGAAUUGUGUAAAACUUAAAAAUGAUCACCCUGUAUAUAGGGGACCCUGUUUGGAACUUUCACAAAUCUAGUCAUAAACAAAAAGACCAAGGAUCAAAUCCCGGCCAUGGCGGCCACAUUUCGAUGGGAGCGAAAUACAAGAACACCUGUGUACUUAUAUUUAAACGUACAUUAAAGAAUCCCAGGUGGCCCAACUUAAUCCAGAGUCCCUUCCAACGGCGGCGUGUCUCAGAAUCAUAUGAUGGUUUUGGCUCAUAAAACACUAUAAAUAAAUUUAUAAU